GUGAGGAAUAUUGGUCAAUGGGCGGGAGCCUGAACCAGCCAAGUCGCGUGAAGGAAGAAGGAUCUAUGGUUCGUAAACUUCUUUUGCAGGGGAAUAAAGUGCAGGACGUGUCCUGUUUUGUAUGUACCCUGAGAAUAAGGAUCGGCUAACUCCGUGCCAGCAGCCGCGGUAAUACGGAGGAUCCGAGCGUUAUCCGGCGUUAUUGGGUUUAAAGGGUGCGUAGGUGGUUUGAUAAGUCAGCGGUGAAAGUUUGCAGCUUAACUGUAAAAAUGCCGUUGAAACUGUCGGACUUGAGUGUAAAUGAGGUAGGCGGAAUGCGUGGUGUAGCGGUGAAAUGCAUAGAUAUCACGCAGAACUCCGAUUGCGAAGGCAGCUUACUAAGCUACAACUGACACUGAAGCACGAAAGCGUGGGGAUCAAACAGGAUUAGAUACCCGGGUAGUCC
rnacentral:rRNA from 1 species